rnacentral:rRNA from 2 species
UGGGGAAUCUUCCGCAAUGGGCGAAAGCCUGACGGAGCAACGCCGCGUGAAUGAAGAAGGCCUUCGGGUCGUAAAGUUCUGUCUUCAGGGACGAAGUCUCUUGGUGCGAAUAGUGCCGGGAGGUGACGGUACCUGAGGAGGAAGCUCCGGCUAACUACGUGCCAGCAGCCGCGGUAAUACGUAGGGAGCAAGCGUUGUCCGGAAUUACUGGGCGUAAAGGGCGCGUAGGCGGGAAUUUAAGUCAGAUGUGAAAUCUCCGGGCUCAAACUGGAGCCUACAUUUGAAACUGGAUUUCUUGAGGGCAGGAGAGGAAAGUGGAAUUCCUAGUGUAGCGGUGAAAUGCGUAGAUAUUAGGAGGAACACCAGUGGCGAAGGCGACUUUCUGGACUGUACCUGACGCUGAGGCGCGAAAGCGUGGGGAGCAAACGGG